rnacentral:tRNA from 1 species
AAAAAAGCCUUUAUUUUUUCAAGCCUUACUUGUUGUGUAAUGUAACAUAGUAAUUAAUUAUCCUUUUUCAAUCGGGAGAGAUGGCUGAGUGGACUAAAGCGUCGGAUUGCUAAUCCGUUGUACGAGUUAUUCGUACCGAGGGUUCGAAUCCCUCUCUUUCCGUACCUUCACCUAAUUUAUCAAUGUUACGAAUCGCAAUGUAUCAAAUCACAUAACAAUGGAUACCUUUAUUCCAACAGUUAGACCUUUCCUUUAUAUAGAUUCUCUAUUCCUAAUAUUCCUAAUUUCUGCGGUACAGAAAAUACUGGAAAAAAUGGAAAGGAAUGAAAAUAUCCCUAUCGUUCUAUGAUAUAUGAAUGGGAGAAAAAUCUCCCGAUCAAGCCCUUACUUUUGAUUUCUUUACUUAGGCGACAAGGGGGCAAAAUUAUCCGAACCCUUGUUAUUUUAGUUAGGUUUAAGUCUGACGAGAAUAAUAUUCUACCACUAGUAAUUCAUUUAUUUUCAAGCCAACCCAUUUACUAUCUAUUAUUUGAUUGACCAAUCCUUUAUAUUGGAAUGGGUGAAGAGUCAAAUGUUUUGGCAAUUCCUCCUGGGGGGAUGAAUCAAGAUAAUUUUUAAUCAUAGCUCUAGAUUUUUGUUCAGCUCUCGCUGUAAUAAUAUCUCGGGGUUUGCAGCGAUAACUUGGUAUAUCUACUAUACGACCAUUAACUAAAAUAUGUCUAUGAUUAACUAAUUGGCGGGCUCGAGGAAUAGUUGACGCCAUACCCAAUCGAAAAAGGAUGUUAUCCAAACGCAUUUCAAGUAAUUGUAGUAAAACCUGACCUGUUGACCCUUUGGCUUUUGCGGCGAUACGAACAUAUUUAAGUAAUUGUCGUUCUGUAAGACCAUAAUGAAAACGCAAUUUUUGUUUUUCUUCUAAACGAAUACGAUAUUGAGAUUUUUUACCGGAGCGUGAUUGAUUUCUAAGAUCGCUCCCGACUUUAGGCCUUUUACUAGUUAGUCCCGGCAAAGCCCCCAGACGACGUAUUUUUUUGAAACGAGGCCCUCGGUAACGUGACAUAAAAACUCCUUAUUUUCUUUUUAUUGUUUUUGAAUUUUCAGAAACCUAAAUUAAAACUGAACUAAAUUAAAACUGAACUAAAGGAUAAAUAUGAUAAAUGAAGCAAAAUCUACUAUCUACUAAAUUAGUAUAUUACAAAUAAUAAUGAGUGGAUUGUAUCAAUAUCCGGACCUUAUUCCUUAUUGUAUAUAUACCAAUAAUGUAUAUAGAAAAAAAAAGGUUCUUUUCUUGUUCUUGAUUUGUUCUGCAGAGAUUUAACUACUCUAACCUUUAUUCAUAUUAUUCCUAAUUGGAAGUUCCUACCACAUAAUAAUCGGUCACCCUCGGAAAAAAGGGAAAGGGGCCUUUUCAAUAUUCUUUGAUUUAAAAAAACAUUAUCAAUUAUGUAAAAAAUUAAACAAAUAGAGAAAAGCCAGCUAUCGGAGUCGAACCGAUGACCAUCGCAUUACAAAUGCGAUGCUCUAACCUCUGAGCUAAGCGGGCUUACAUAACAGAAAUUGUACAUGUAUAGGAAUUUAGUAAACUAAUGGAAUCUUGGCUAUUAAUUUUUUAUUCUUUUCAUUCUUAGUUAUUCAUAAUUAAUUAUUAUGAAUAUAGAAAAAAAAGAAAAAGAAUUGAUCGUUCGAGUAUUCAAAAUUGCACGAGAAAAAAAAAAUGAGAGCAAGAAAAGUAUAUGUAAUGAAUGUGGUAUAUAUACAUCUAUAUUGAAUUGCGGAUAGAGAAAUGAUAGAAUCCUUUCUGAUUAGACUAAAUAAGGGUCUCUGAUAGAGAUAAAAGAAGAUAGACAAGAAAUAAAAAAAUAAGAGGAAAGACUUUUUAUAGGAAUCGGUAUCUAAUGACUUCAACAGUUCCAGUAGAAUAGAAAUGAAAAAAGGGGGAUAAUAAUAAGAUCUUAAUUUCAAAACAA